AGGCUUAUCUCGUAACAUUUACUUUUCAUAUUUGAAAAGUUCCAAAGACAGAAAUUUGAUAGAGAUAUUACAUAUACAAGGUGUUCGGUAACUGAUAAUACAAUCCAGCAAUUCUAAUCGUAAAUUUCGUAUUGAAUUGAUCCAACUUCCACUUGUGCUCUUGUAUCCAUAAAUAUGAGUGUUACAAGUUAAGACUGUGAGCACCGUGAUACGGUAUUUUAUGAAAUACGGUUGGAAUUGUAUCAGCAGAUAUGCUACCGAAAGUGAUGCAAAGUCGAGGAUCCUAUGAUAAGGUUAGGAUUAUUGUCUGCGAGGAUGAAUCUGAUGCGAAGUCACGGCAGCUGUAGGAAAAGUCACGUGCGAGCUGUUACGUCGCGUAACACUCUACCUAGACCAGGCCACACACCGCGGGCAAGAUGGCAACCAGAUGUCUUCGGAUACUCACUACGUACCCUCAAUAGUCUCAAGUAUCUUCCAUAAAUCUUAGGAAUUUCCUAGCCGAGGUCCUUCAAACUGAACAAACGUCUGUUUCCGAAGCAUUUCUAAAGACCUUUGUCUACUACGGCUUGACAAGGGAAAGUUGGUUUUUCUCACGUAUGAUGCAACUUUCCUCCCACUAACCACUUUCUCUCGAGGGCGGUUAAGACCCUUCGUUUAACCAAUUAACAACGAAGACUAUUUCCCUCACUCUCUUAGCCAAAAUCGUCACCAACAAAUCCGAUGGUUCCGUGCGCUAGACACACCCAUCCUUAGCUUUCCUCCGCCACAGCAUCGUCUCCGAACAUCACUGAUUUUACAUCCUUCGAACAAUCAACAUCCUUCGACCGGGUUUACACCCGAAGAUCAGUCUCAAUCAAGCAUCUCGUCAAGCGGUCAACAAUUCGAAUACAGUGAGUCGACAAAUCCAUCAGUAUACGCGAUAAUCCGUCUAGAGACUCAGGUCGCACUCAUUCGUAGUCAUCUCAUAGCAAAUAUUCAUUUUGUGUUACACCGAAGUUGUUGGUUUGUGAAAAUAUAUAAUAACCUGUUAGCAGCAGCGUUAUCUUUAAUUUAACUACCCUUAUUAUCCUAAAAGAAAUAAGGGAUCGAGCGAUUCGCGGCGUCGAUUAGCAAAUCGUAACGGGAAUUUAGGACUCCCGUUGGCGCGCUUCUUCGAGAUCGUGUCUCCCCACGAACGUGCGAAAACACGAGCGCCUCUGGCGCAACAAAAAGAAGCCCAAGGAGGUGAGUUCUAAGUUAACGAACAAACUCGAUCCGAAAUCCGGAUGUAAGUAUAAUUAUGUAUUUUCUAAGUACGCAUGCCAUGUGGAAUUAUCAUAAACAGUUAUAAAUGAUAAUCGGUAACCAUGAUAUUUAAUCAAUGAAUUUGUUGUCAAAACUGUUUUGCACGAUCAAAACAUUUAUUUCGCCGCUCCAAAAUUCACACUACGGAGAACCGCAAAGAAAGAUGCAUGACAUUAUUAAAAUUCCUUACGGAACGCCACAAAACUCCGAAGAUUAUAAGAAUAUCAAGAUAGAAUGCGUGCGCCAACUGGAAAGAAUAUGCAUUGAACAGGAAAUGGAUAGAGAGUACUAGAUUUUACAGACACUAAAAUUUGCAGACGAUCAAUAACUACAUAUUUAUGACAGUUUAAAAUCUCGACGAAAAAAUAAGUAUUAUUUCCGAACUAAAUAUAACACAAUUUCAGGAGUCAAAGUCGUCGCAGAUCGGCGAUCUGCGGACGAUCCCGCGAACAGCUGCACGUCAAUACGAAAAAGUUUAUAUAAGAAUGUCGCGAAUUUCAUAAAUAGCCAUUAGUUAUUUCAUUACUUCAUGACGGACUAUAAGAUAUAAGUACCUAAGAUUACUGGGUACAGCUAACACUCAACAGAUACAUGUAAAAAAGGGAAGGAGAACAAAACGUUCAUCAGACGCACAUUGUCAACAGUAACAGCAUUUAUGUACAAUUCAAAUGACAAAUAAAAAUAUAGUGGAAGUGGAUUGGAUUAGGGCUCUGGCAAGGUCUCGUAUGUAGCCACUUCACGCGGUAAAAACUGCCAGCUGAUAUUUGUUUUCAGAAAUUAAUCUGUAGAAGACGAUGCCAAGCUAAAAACAGCGUAAGGCGUCGUAAAAUGUAUACGUACCAGUUUUAAUUAUGUAAUAAACAUAUCUAGGCUAAGUCUAUUGUACGCACUUUACGCACAAAGACGUCCUUUUUUAUAUUUAAAGGGAAAAUAUAAAACUCCGUUUUCUAAUCCAUUUCUUUAUUAAAUAGUAUGAUCCAUUUAAUAGAGUGUCCAAAGUUCUAUUCCAUAAAACAUUCCUACAUACAUCUUGAUUUUACCAUAUUGCAUUAAGAUUCACAAUCGUUCUAAUGAGGUCAUCGGUUCUUACAUUCCUUUGUAUAAAUGGUAAUAACCUAAUAGUAAUAAUAAUGUAGAUACAAAACGUUAAUCGCAUAUCUAACAACAUAUGUCUUCAACUACUCUGAUACUUGCAAGGUAGGAGUAACACACUGAUUUUUUCGCCAUUGUACAUUGAUAUAAUGAUGUGAUCAGGCGUGAAGUUCAUUAAAAUCGGCAUGUUACAGCAUCUAAGUAAUGACUAACUGUGAGUCAAUCCCGCUGUG